ACGCGUAGCCUAUCCAAUGCCUUUAAGGAAGUGAUUCGUGCGCAUUCAUUUUAACAACGUUAAGAAGCCAUUCAAAGUCAAGCACGCUGGUCAUAAAACUUUCAACAGGAUGAUUGAGGAUUACCACCUGUCCGUCUUCACGAACAUGCUUGGAGUUACUGUCUUUCUUCUGGUUGUUUUCUACCAUUAUGUGGUAGUAAACACACCGAAAAAACAUUUACACAGUAAAUGAUGAAUUAAGUAUAAACUAGAACCAGCCCAAACUUGAAAAGCUGCCAACUGGAAAUAUGUUUGUCCAAGACAUCAUGAGGAAUACUGUUAAAGAACUGCAAAAAGAGUAAAUUAUUAUACAUACUGUAUAUUUUUUUGUAACCUCUUUUUAAAUAAAGAACGACUACGUUCAGUGUGCACUGUU